UCUUUCUUCCCAGUGCCACUGGGAAGAAGGGAGUUCUGUAAUCAUCGCCAUGUCCGUCCAAGUGAUGGAUAUAGACGACGAGGCUGAAGAUUCAGGAGAGGAAGAAGAAGAUCUACAGCUGGCCCCUCUCUUUGGUUCAUAUCCCCAAGAGGCAUGGAACCCAUCUUUGCCUCCGACGAUACUCAGAUUGGUGUUGAUGAAAUGAGUGCCGUCGCGGAGCCACAUCCGAACCACUCUACUUCCUGGAGCACCGCUCUCAUAGCUAACGCCAGCCACGCCAGGAAGAUGGCCAGGAGAGACGAUCUGGCAGCGGCAAAGGUGGUUGGCAUUUGGUUGGGGUGCUUCUUUUUCAUCUUCCUGGCCGUGGGCAUCCCAAACUUCAUUCAGAAGCGGCGCAGAGAAGCCUUGGAGAAUAGCCAACGGCAGCCGUCCCUCGAGCAAUGCGAGCCCCCUUCUUCGCCAGUCCCGUCUCAACAAUCCCAACGGCAACCUUAGUCGUCCACAGGAGGGAAAUUAAAUUUUGCAGUAAUAAUCAAUAAAAGAUUGAUACGAUCGA